UGUUCCCUAGGGUGUUGGAGCUUGGUUAAGUCCCUGAGCCGAUAAAUUUUAUGUUAGGGUUUCUGUUCGUUUACUAUUGUGCAAGCUCGGCAUGUACCGAGAAGCCUACGGUAGACCGCAGAUUCCCGCCCUGAAACCUCAAGGUUUCAGGACUGACACCGGGCACCGCAUACUUGGGGAACAC
rfam:Pseudoalteromonas lipolytica SCSIO 04301 genomic scaffold Scaffold2, whole genome shotgun sequence.